CAUAUAAUUAUGACAAUUAUAUUUCCAAGAUAUUCUGGGAUCUUUACAGUUUCAUAAUUUUGCUCUUUUUACUAUACAACACUCCUUUUAUUGAAACAAAUACAGAUUUUGGAGUCAGACAGACCUAGUCUGGAUUUGAAUUCCAGCUCUCCUUCUUACCAGCCUGGGGCCAUGGAGAAUGUUGUCCAUUUCCCUGAGCCUCAGUGUUCUUCUCUGUAAAAUGUGGAUGAUACCUGACUCCCAGGCAUUUUGCCAGGAUUACAUGGGAUUCCUACACAGUGCAAUGUCUAGUGAUAAUAUAAAUACUAAAAGCAACUUGUUAAAUGUAUAAAUAAAUGUGAUUUAUUUUUGCUCCUUUACAUACAGUAUCAUGGAUAUAAUUUGUAGAUGUGUGUACUGUGAAUACAAUGGCCACUUCUCUUGCUCCCA
rnacentral:lncRNA from 10 species